AUACUUACCUGACAGAGGAGAUACCAUUAUCACAAAGGUGGCUUUCCCAGCAAGAGGCUAUCCAUAGCAAUUUGGAUGUGCUGACUCCUGAAAUUUCUCCACAUGUGGGAAACUCAACUUCAUAAUUUGGUUGUCGGGUACUGUGCUUAGAAACCUGG